AUUACAUGUUUAUUUGUGUAUCAUCAGCUACAUAUCUUAACGUCUAUACACUCGCCGCCUUCCAAUUCCAGAUCUUGAGGUGUGUUUUUACCUGAAAAUAGAUAUUUUGGUUUUGUAUUAAUUUGAUACAUAGAUAGAUUUCACCCUUGUCCCUAGGGAACUAUUUCUAGCACAGUAUAAAAGGUAGCCAUGGAUAAAACCUGAGAACCAAAUAUAUAAAUCAGUUCAAUAGUUUUGGCAAGAAAGACCAACAGAUAGACAGAGAUAGGUUCUUUCGUAUUUACAAUAUUACUAAGGAUCUGAAUGCAAAUAAAAUAGAUGGCAUAAUCAUCG